UACGUAGGGGGCAAGCGUUGUCCGGAUUCAUUGGGCGUAAAGAGCGUGUAGGCGGCCAGGUAGGUCGGUUGUGAAAACUGGAGGCUCAACCUUCAGAGGUCGACCGAAACCAUCUGGCUAGAGUCCGGGAGAGGAGAGUGGAAUUCCUGGUGUAGCGGUGAAAUGCGCAGAUAUCAGGAAGAACACCCGUGGCGAAAGCGGCAUCCUGGACCGGCAUUGACGCUGAGGCGCGAAAGCCAGGGGAGCAAACGGG
rnacentral:rRNA from 1 species